rnacentral:tRNA from 1 species
GGAGAGGUGACUGAGCGGUUGAAAGUACCGGUCUUGAAAACCGGCGAGGGUGUAAGCCCUCCGAGGGUUCGAAUCCCUCCCUCUCCGCCA